CAGCCGCCGCGGUAAGACAGAGGAUGCAAGCGUUAUUCGGAAUGAUUGGGCAUAAAGCGUCUGUAGGUGGCUUUUCAAGUCCGCCGUCAAAUCCCAGGGCUCAACCCUGGACAGGCGGUGGAAACUACCAAGCUGGAGUACGGUAGGGGCAGAGGGAAUUUCCAGUGGAGCGGUGAAAUGCGUUGAGAUCGAAAAGAACACCAACAGCGAAAGCACUCUGCUGGGACGACACUGACACUAAGAGACGAAAGCUAGGGGAGCAAAUGGGAUUAGAUACCCGUGUAGUCCCUGUCUCUUAUAC
rnacentral:rRNA from 1 species